rnacentral:rRNA from 1 species
GGACCCGCACAAGUAGUGGAGCAUGUGGUUUAAUUCGAAGAUACGCGCAGAACCUUACCAACACUUGACAUGUUCGUCGCGACUCUAAGAGAUUAGAGUUUUCGGUUCGGCCGGACGAAAAACAGGUGCUGCAUGGCUGUCGUCAGCUCGUGUCGUGAGAUGUUGGGUUAAGUCCCCGCAACGAGCGCAACCCUCACUUUUAGUUGCCAUCAUUAAGUUGGGCACUCUGAAAGAACUGCCAGUGAUAAGCUGGAGGAAGGUGGGAUGACGUCAAGUCCUCAUGGCCCUUACGUGUUGGGCUACACACGUGCUACAAUGGUAUCUACAACAGGAAGCAAGACUGCGAAGUUAAGCAAAAUCCCUAAAAGAUACCUCAGUUCGGAUUGCACUCUGCAACUCGAGUGCAUG